CAGGGCGCUUUGUUAAGAGCCGCGCGUGAUUACGGACCGAUCGUGCGGAUUCGAAGUGAUCAUUUUAUUGGAUUUUUUUUUCAUCUCUGGUUUUCAUUCGAGACAAUUAUGUAAAUCAAGUGGUUUAAUUUCGAAUUGUUUUGUCAAAGUGACAUUUGUCAUUUUCCGGCGUAAAUCGUGAUCGCGUGUUUGCGUGUGUUGUGUGAAUACGACAUAGAAAGAGAGAGAGAGAAAGAUUAAAAAAGUAUUGGAAACCUACAGUACUUUUAGUGGGUUUCAUCGUUGACGCUUUUCUACCCGUUUAAUCGACCUUUGACAAACGUAACAGAUUGACAUUCGUUCGUCUAUUAAAAAUCGAAUCUUUCUACAAUCACUUACAAAUAAUAUGUAAUGUCGUGAACUUUUUUCGUAAUUGUUUUUUCGAUCGAUUUUUGGCGCCUUUUUGAAGUUACUAAGUUAAGUACAGUGCAUAGAUAUUAACAUGUAAAUGUGAAUAAUGAGAAACGGUCUAUUGUACUAAGAAGUAUAGUGACAUUACGAAGAGACAACUAUGAAGAUUAUUUCUUAUGAUAAAAACAAAAUUUACUUCGAUUAGUGUACAGUGAAAGUUUAUCUUUAAAAUCGUUCAAAAAUGCCACGUAAAAAAUUGACGAUCUUCGCAGAUUAUGAGUGCGUCGAUCCUAGUGCGCGCGAAAAUUUGAAAAGAAAUUAUCUUUGUUAAAUACUUUGAUUAAUUUUUUUAUUCAAGGAAAUUAGUUCAUUGUUGUGUUACCUUGAAGAACUUUUAAUUAUGGACUUUUGCUAAUGUGUUUGUGUGAACUUGUGUCUAGACAAAUGAUUCGGACGUUGAAAAUAAAACAUGUCAAUGAAUUUUUGAAUAACUAGAAGAUCGAACGAAGUGUUAUCGUGUUACUUUUAAGGAUAUCUGAAGAAAAAGAAGAAAGAAUAUUGAAUAUCAA